rnacentral:misc_RNA from 1 species
AACGCACAUUGCGCCCGCCGGCAUUCCGGCGGGCAUGCCUGUUCGAGCGUCAUUUCAACCCUCAGGCCCUGCCUGGUGUUGGGGCACCGCCGUCGCGGGCCCCCAAAGUCAGCGGCGGGCACGGCCCGGACCCGAGCGUAGUAGCAUAACUCGCUAGGGGCUCCGGCCGCGCUCCGGCCGUAAAACCACUACAGAAGGUUGACCUCGAAUCAGGUAGGAAUACCCGCUGAACUUAA